CACAGCCCGGGAAAAGCAACUGGGAGCGGAGCACGGGGGAAACGUGGAUGCGCUGAGCUCCCUACAACCGCAGUGAGUGUGUGCCCAGGAGGGCCUCAUGGGGUGGGUGUGAGUCUGGCCUGCCUGGGCUCGGGGUGGGGGGUGUUUACAGACGCAUUUCAGCCCCGCAGCAGGGGCUGGGGAGGUCCCGCUUGUGACAGUCUCUGCACCAAGGCAGGAGGAUGGAAGCCGCCCAGAGAACUGCCACUCCGUAGCCUGUGGGCAUCCAGGGGUGAGUGGCAGCGAUGGUGUCCCAUGGAGGAAACACACUGGAAAUCGUGCAGAAGAUGGGAAGAUGGAGGCUGGAGUGCGGAGAAGGACUGAGACCCUGCCUGGUAGAUGGCACCGUCACAGCAGCCGUCUGCCUGCUAGGAGGAGCGUCUCCACCAGCAGCAGGCCAGCCCCUGAGGGAGACAGCAGAGAGCUGGAGUCCUGGCCAGCCAGGCGGGGAUCCUUCAGCCGGACACAGGAGACACAGCAGGCAACAGGAGCUCAGAACGCUCUCGGCGACCCUGCUGAGUAACUUGUGGACUUUGUCGUCUGGCCAGUCAUGCAGGAUCCGGCACAGGACGUACAGCUCAGCGCUGGGGAGGGGGUCCCUGAAAAAGUCACCUGGUUUAAAGACAAAAGGAGACACGUCCGUCAGAGACAGAAGAGGAGACAGACACAGAGGAGAAGGCCACAUGGAGACGGAGGCAGAGACUGGAGUGAUGCGGCCUCAAGCCCAGGGACGCCUGGAGCCCCCAGGAGCUGGGAGAGGCAGGAAGGAUCCUCCCCUAGAGUCUCAAGAAGGAACCAG
rnacentral:antisense_RNA from 1 species